CGUAGCAUUAUCGAACGGAGAACAUUUUAUUUACUAGCUUGUUAAGAUUCCAUUUACAAUUAUACUUUUAGAAAGGCGAGGGGAAGAAAAUCUUUUGUACAGUUAUUGUCAGGCAAAAUAAAAUGGUAAAAUAAAGUAUGUACAUUUGGGCAACAUUAAAACAUGGUCAAUACAUGAGUAUAGUCAGUGACAUGUUCAUUCUGCAGGAGGCAAACAUCACGUUUAAAAUGUAACUCGAGAAAUGAUUAAGACCGAUGCAUUUUCCCUUCAGAGUGACGCUUUUUAAGAGCAUUUAGCUAAUGUAAGACGCUACGGCCUGGUCGUUUUAUAGACAUACUAGGCAGUUUUUCAUAUGCAAAAGUUGAGUUUAAGGUCACGCGUCUAUAGCGGUUGCAGUAGCACGUGGGGGUUAGACACUUUAAAUGUUAGCAUUCCAGAGCUUCAAUAAAUAAAUAAAAUGGCGGGAAGUGGGACAGCGGAAUCCCAGCACAAAAUGGAGGCAGAGAAACCCCCAUAGCUGCACUCUUCUCUCGCUAGUCUGUGUUUUAAUUUUUUUUCAUAAAAAGCAGAAGGUUUUAAACAUCCUCUAAGUUAUGUAAUAAUCCCUCCAAUAAAACGUAUUCAGUUUAGCUCACAGCGUUACUCAUUAAGACAUAAGUUGGGCUUAUUUGUAUUUUACUACUCUGUCCGUUGUGGUUACACAGUUUGUAUAUACACUGGCAAUAAAAUUUAAAUCUGUCAUAUUAAAAUAACAUGUCUAUGCCCUCGGUCGUCACUGGUCCCUUCUGCCUCUGCCACCGGCCGUCUUUUUGUUUUUUCCCCCCCCACCGGCAGCGCUGUGAACUCGCUGGAUGAAUUGUGCUUUUUUUCCACCGGCUCCUGAUCCGAGACAGCUUGUUGUUGUGAGUCACGCAAGAAGACGAAAAGCUCCGACGCGGUCCUCCACGUCCGCACUAUAAACACCAGUACUAGCGCUAUAAACCAAUAUAUUAAUAAUUUAAAACACGAUUCAGUAACUCAGACUUGGCCGCACACGCCAACGAAAAAAUAAACAACUCUGCUGCAAGCUCUGCCGUGGUUUUCUCUGUCCCCUGAUUGGUGCGUCGUGGACUCCCUCCCUCACGCUCCCUGAAACCUCAGCUCGCACCCGCUCUCCUAUAAUCAAUCAACGCCGUGAUCGAUACAAAGUAAAAAAAAAAUACACAGGUAGCAGAGUCUAAAUAAAAUAAAAUAAACUAAUGGCAUGCCAUUGGUCCAUUAAAUACUGUUUAUGGCGUAGGCUGGAAUGCUUUUUAAGUUCUUUAAUACCUGAUAUAAGUGAGAGGUUAAAAAGACGCUUCUUUUUUCGCCGCUACAAUAAAUAGACUAUCCUUCAUUGAGUGUGGUGAUACAGUACGCACACUACCUCUACAGUAAUUGCACAGAGACCACAUGUGUUGGGGGGGGCAGACCCCUUCCCCGUCCUGCGAUCCUCCUCCACCCCUUCCUCCGGCGAACCUCCAACACUUUGAUUUCCCCCCCCAACUCGCAAUCGGACACAUACAGGGAGAGAUCUCCCCCCGGUUAGAGAUCUCUAGCCCUGGAGGGGGAUGCAGGUAGUUUGGUUAAUCCAGUAAUGCCAGCCCUGGACAGCUGCGAGCAUAUUAUUGUUUGAUGCGUUUCUCGAAGACCUCCUUUUCCCCCCGUAAGACUUCGACAUAUUUUCAAGCUGUUUUUUCUUUUUUUUGUUACAAUAAAAAUCCCUGGUACAGAAGAGUUUUUCAAGUGGAGAUCUUCAGUAUCAACAGGUGUUCACACCGCAGGUGGAGAAGCUCCCUUCCAGCUCUGUGUCUGUUCUGAUGGUUCUGAGGGUUAAUCGAUAACCCCAACAAAGGCUCUCCCUCUUCUACGAUGGAAUGGUCCCUGGGAUGGUCAGAGAAUCGUCCAGUACAAGGAUUUGUUUUCAGUUGUCAACGUCACGGUCUCCCGGUCAGAAACACAGAGGUAUAAACUCUGUCCCUAGCUCCUCCCCUUGGCUCCUCCCCCUUGGGCUCCUCCCCUAUCUCCUCCUCUUGGCUCCUCCCUCUGGCUCCUCCCCUUGGCUCCUCCUCUUCCUCUUCUCCACAUUCGUUCAGAACCUCAACCGCUGGAGUCCCUCGAGGUCUUCCCUGUUUGUUGUGAGAGGUCCAGAGUAGAUGUGCUGUUGUUAUGUCCUUAGAGAUCUCCGUCUGACGGAGGCAAACACAGC
ensembl:lncRNA